rnacentral:sRNA from 1 species
UGUAAAAUGUUUUCAUAUAGUAUAAGAUGGAACCUCUUGGUAAUCAUGGUGUUGUUGCACUAGGCCAGUAUAUUUCUUAUUAUAGGUCCAUGGUUCUCAACCAGGGGCAGUUUUGCCCACCGGGAGGCAUUUGGCAGUGUCUGGAGACUUUUUUUUUUUUUUUUUUGAGACGAAGUCUUGCUCUGUCACCCCAGCUGGAGUUCAGUGGCACGAUCUCGGCUCUCUGCAACCUCUGCCUCCCAGGUUCUAGCCAUUCUCCUGCCUCAGUCUCCCAAGUAGCUGGGAUUACAGGUGGGCACCACCACUCCUGGCUAAUUUUGUAUUUUUUAUAGAGAGGGGGUUUCGCCAUGUUGGCCAGGCUGGUCUCGAAUUCCUGACCUCAAGUGAUCUGCCUGCCUCGGACUCCCAAAGUGCUGGGAUUACAGGCAUGAGCCACUGUGCCUGGCCUGGAGAUAUUUUUGAUUGUCACAACUGGAGGAAAGAGGUUGUCACAACUGGUAUCUAGCAGAUAGAGCCCAGGGAUGCAGCUGAACACCCCGCAAUGUAUAGGACAGCCUCCACAAGAAAAAAUUAACCCAAAAUGUCAGUAAUGCUGAGGCUAAGAAACCCUGUUAUAUACUAACUGUUAGGUAAAAUUUUGUUCUUGUGUGAAGGUUAUAUUUCAGGUACACAGUUUAAUCCCUGGUAUUUCCAAAUGCUCAUAAAAAUAGGUAACUUUUCCUGUAUGGCAUACCAUGGUUUUAUCUGUCAGUUUGUUUUAAUCUACUUGAAAAGCCCUUGGGAUUAAUUUUUCAGAGCCCUUUGCAAUAGCAAAAUAUAUCAUCUUUCCUUUUUUUUUAAUUGACAAAUAGUAAUUGUAUAUGAUAAUGGGGUACAAAUGAUGUUUUGAAAUAUAUUUACAAUGUAGAAUGCUUAAAUCAGACUAACAAAUCCGUACCUUAUAUACUUAACAAUUUUUGUGGUAAAAACAUAAAAUCUGCUGUUUUAGCAAUUUUGAAAUAUACAGUGAUUAUUUAUUAUAGUCACCCUAUUCUGUGUGAUAGAUCACUAAAGCUUAUUCCUCCUGUCCAGCUGAAAUUUCAUACCCUUUGAUCAACAUCUUCCUUUUCCCCAUCCAUCUCCCUCCCCUGGAGUAUUCUGUAAUCUUUUCAUCACCUGGCUAAAAUGUUGCUUAAAUCAUGAUCAUUAUGAAUACAGAAGUCUUUAUACUUUGAAGGUUUUGCAUGUAACAUGGCUACCAGCUGCAGAUGAGUAAUGCAAGUUAAAGAAUGUCAAAAACAAAUAACUUUAGGCACAACAUAUCUGUAACACUUUUGUAAGAGAUGUCAACGUGAAAUUCCAUUUUUUUAAGUCAGUAGAUUCAGGGAGUUUUCCCAAGUAUGCAUGGAAAAUUACAAUUUGAGAUUUAGAAAUCACAUUUUAAACCUCUUCUGUAUACUUCUUGCUACCUAAGAGGUUGGGUUAUGGGGAAUUUUUGCCAAUUCUAUAUCAUAUAUUAAUUCAUGUGUAUUUAUUUUUAUAGAUAUAGGAAUUUUCCUGUGGUGGAGGCAAGUUGGUCAAUGCUGCAUGAUGAGAGGCCAUAUUUAUGUAAUUUCUUAGGAACGAUUUAUGAAAAUUCAUCCAGACAGGCACUAAUGAACAUUUUGAAAAAAGAUGGGAACGAUAAGCUUUGUUGGGUUUCAGCAAGAGAACACUGGCAGCCUCAGGAAACAAAUGAAAGUCUUAAGAAUUACCAAGAUGCCUUGCUUCAGAGUGAUCUCACAUUGUGCCCGGUCGGAGUAAACACAGAAUGCUAUCGAAUCUAUGAGGCUUGCUCCUAUGGCUCCAUUCCUGUGGUGGAAGACGUGAUGACAGCUGGCAACUGUGGGAAUACAUCUGUGCACCACAGUGCUCCUCUGCAGUUAUUCAAGUCCAUGGGCGCUCCCUUUAUCUUUAUCAAGAACUGGAAGGAACUCCCUGCUGUUUUAGAAAAAGAGAAAACUAUAAUUUUACAAG